rnacentral:ribozyme from 1 species
GACUUUAGAUUUGCUUGCGUUUUUUUCCCUUUGAUUUUUUCCUUUCAAUUUUUCACAUUUUUGGAUCAUCAGACAGACAGAGAGAGAGACUUGGAAGAGAAAUGUGGAUAGACAGAAU